GGUAGAGCACUGUUAUGGCUAGGGGGACAUGGCGUCUUACCAAACCAUGGCAAACUCCGAAUACUUGGAAGUCAGAGCACGGGAGACAGAGCACCGGGUAGCUAACGUCCGGACUCAAAAGGGAAACAACCCAGACCGCCGGCUAAGGUCCCUAAUAUCGGCUAAGUGGAAAACGAAGUGGGAAGGCUAAGACAGUCAGGAAGUUGGCUUAGAAGCAGCCAUCCUUCAAAGAAAGCGUAAUAGCUCACUGAUCGAGUC
rnacentral:rRNA from 1 species